CCUANGGGGGGCAGCAGCUAAGAAUAUUCCGCAAUGGGAGAAAUCCUGACGGAGCGACGCCGCGUGAACGAAGAAGGCAGAAAUGUUGUAAAGUUCUUUUAUACGGGAAGAAUAAGGUGAGUAGUGGAAAGACUCAUCGAUGACGGUACCGUAUGAAUAAGCCCCGGCUAACUACGUGCCAGCAGCCGCGGUAAUACGUAGGGGGCUAGCGUUGUUCGGAUUUAUUGGGCGUAAAGGGCAUGUAGGCGGUUAUGCAAGUGUGGGUUUAAAGGCGCAGGCUCAACCUGUAGCAUGGUCUGCAAACUACAUAACUAGAGUUCGGGAUGGGAGACUGGAAUUCCGCGUGUAGGGGUGAAAUCUGUAGAGAUGCGGAAGAAUACCGGCGGCGAAGGCGAGUCUCUGGCCUGAAACUGACGCUGAGAUGCGAAAGUGUGGGGAGCAAACAGGAUUAGAUACCCUUNUANUC
rnacentral:rRNA from 1 species